UACGGAGGGUGCAAGCGUUAUCCGGAUUCACUGGGUUUAAAGGGUGCGUAGGCGGCCCGGUAAGUCAGUGGUGAAAUCCCUCAGCUUAACUGAGGAAUUGCCAUUGAAACUGCCAGGCUUGAAUACAGUUGAAGUGGGCGGAAUACAACAUGUAGCGGUGAAAUGCUUAGAUAUGUUGUAGAACACCGAUUGCGAAGGCAGCUCACUAAGCUGUGAUUGACGCUGAGGCACGAAAGCGUGGGGAGCGAACAGG
rnacentral:rRNA from 1 species